rnacentral:rRNA from 1 species
GAUUAACGUUGGCGGCGUGUAUAAGGCAUGCAAGUCGAGCGGAGAUGAGGUGCUUGCACCUUAUCUUAGCGGCGGACGGGUGAGUAAUGCUUAGGAAUCUGCCUAUUAGUGGGGGACAACAUUCCGAAAGGAAUGCUAAUACCGCAUACGACCUACGGGGGAAAGCAGGGGAUCUUCGGACCUUGCGCUAAUAGAUGAGCCUAAGUCGGAUUAGCUAGUUGGUGGGGUAAAGGCCUACCAAGGCGACGAUCUGUAGCGGGUCUGAGAGGAUGAUCCGCCACACUGGGGCUGAGACACGGCCCAGACUCCUACGGGAGGCAGCAGUGGGGAAUAUUGGACAAUGGGCGGAAGCCUGAUCCAGCCAUGCCGCGUGUGUGAAGAAGGCCUUUUGGUUGUAAAGCACUUUAAGCGAGGAGGAGGCUACCUGGAUUAAUACUCUAGGAUAGUGGACGUUACUCGCAGAAUAAGCACCGGCUAACUCUGUGCCAGCCGCCGCCGUAA